GCUGUUAAAACAUGAUCAACUAAGUGACCCGCUGGUCUCGGAUCAGUACUCGGUAUCGGCCGAUACACAAGUUCACGUAUCGGAAUCGGUAUCGCGGAUGGAAAAAAUGGUGUCGGACCAUCUCUAGUACAUACAUCGUCAAUA